rnacentral:lncRNA from 1 species
AUACCCAAAAACUGCUCUCCUGGAGGCGGGCUGUCGACUCUGGAGUCCUUAGAUGACACCAGUGCUCGGCGCCGUCUUGGUAGCUUUGAGUCUUUGAUCUCAUUGCUUGGGGAAAAUUGACAGCGUUGGUGAGGAUCCAGGUCACUUCACCAAUGGGUGACCACAGCUGCCCAGAACUUCAUAUUUCUUGAAAAUAUGGUUAAAAUAUGGUUAGAUCCAUAUUUUGUGAGAAAUGUGAGACCAAAAACCCAGGUCACUUCACCAACGGGACCCUAGGGAACGGAUUAGAAGGGAGGGGUUCUCCACCCUCCCUGUGGGCAGACGGUAUUCGGGCGCCUCGGGCUCUCUUCGGGAUCCUGGUUGAGCACUCCACUUGGAUGCUUGGCCAGUCUUGAAGGGGGCAUGUUCCAACUAAAAACUGCCCUCCCU